rnacentral:rRNA from 1 species
GAUGAACGCUGGCGGCGUGCCUAAUACAUGCAAGUCGAGCGAACAGAUAAGGAGCUUGCUCCUUUGACGUUAGCGGCGGACGGGUGAGUAACACGUGGAUAACCUACCUAUAAGACUGGGAUAACUUCGGGAAACCGGAGCUAAUACCGGAUAACAUAUUGAACCGCAUGGUUCAAUGGUGAAAGGCGGCUUUGCUGUCACUUAUAGAUGGAUCCGCGCCGUAUUAGCUAGUUGGUAAGGUAACGGCUUACCAAGGCAACGAUACGUAGCCGACCUGAGAGGGUGAUCGGCCACACUGGAACUGAGACACGGUCCAGACUCCUACGGGAGGCAGCAGUAGGGAAUCUUCCGCAAUGGGCGAAAGCCUGACGGAGCAACGCCGCGUGAGUGAUGAAGGUCUUCGGAUCGUAAAACUCUGUUAUCAGGGAAGAACAAAUGCGUAAGUAACUGUGCACAUCUUGACGGUACCUGAUCAGAAAGCCACGGCUAACUACGUG